CUUGAACGCUGGCGGCAGGCCUAACACAUGCAAGUCGAACGAGUGGCGGACGGGUGAGUAAUGUCUGGGAAACUGCCUGCUGGAGGGGGAUAACUCCUGGAAACGGUAGCUAAUACCGCAUACCAUCGGAUGUUCCCAGAUGGGAUUAGCUAGUAGGUGGGGUAAAGGCUCACCUAGGCGACGAUCCCUAGCUGGUCUGCGAGGAUUACCAGCCGCACUGGAACGGGGACACGGUCCAGACUCCUACGAGAGGCAGCAGUGGGGAAUAUUGCACAAUGGGCGCAAGCCUGAUGCAGCCAUGCCGCGUGUAUGAAGAAGGCCUGCGGGUUGUAAAGUACUUUCAGCGGGGAGGCGUUACCCGCAGAAGAAGCACCGGCUAACUCCGUGCCAGCAGCCGCGGUAAUAC
rnacentral:rRNA from 1 species